CCGAAUUCGCUGAGCCGGCGAGAAUAGUCGUAAUAUUACAUAAUAUCCACAGUGUGCACAAGUUAUGAUGCAGUGUUUCAGAGUGGGUUGCUGGGAAGUGGAUUGACUGUCAUCUGCUGAGCCCUGAUGCUGGUGGAGCGCCGUCUGCCUGGGUGGUGGUGGCGGCGUGGGCUUCGCCUGCGGCACCGUCG